rnacentral:misc_RNA from 1 species
CUGCCCUCAAGCCCGGCUUGUGUGUUGGGUCGCCGUCCCCCCCGGGAAGGAGGGGACGGGCCCGAAAGGCAGCGGCGACUUCGCGUCCGGUCCUCGAGCGUAUGGGGCUUCGUCACUCCGCUCUGGUAGGAACGGCCGACAGUCUGCCGACUCUCCAACCUUCUUUUUUCCAGG